rnacentral:lncRNA from 1 species
AGCUGAACAAGAUAUAUAUAUAUUUUUUUUUUUCUUUCUCAUCCCUCGUCUUCCCUCCUUGUCGUCCCUUUCUUUCUUUCUUUUUUCUUCGCUUCCUCUUUCUCAUCCUCCACCAUCCACGUUGAUGUCGCGUUCUUCUCUCUCACCUCGUCCAUAUCUGCACAGACGAUUGCGGUGGCGAUGCAUGCUCAGAUAUAGUAUUGAUCGCGGAUGUUAGACUGCAGUAGAGGGUGUGAUUGUCGAUGAUGAUGACGACGAUGACGGCGACGAGGGUUUAGUAGAAUUUGAGAACGACAAAACCUGAAUAAAUGACUUAUUUUUGUAAAAAUACAAGUGGUGGAUCUUAUGCAAAUUGGUUAUUGGUUGUUUUUAUGCAAAGAAAAAUAAAUUUUAAACCACUGUUAUUUAGUUUACACCAUUUAUCUCCAUUUUUUUUUUUUUUUUUUUUUUUUCGGGGCCUGGCUGCCCCACCCUUGUAGCCUAAUUCAUCAUUCCGUNCGAUUGCGGUGGCGAUGCAUGCUCAGAUAUAGUAUUGAUCGCGGAUGUUAGACUGCAGUAGAGGGUGUGAUUGUCGAUGAUGAUGACGACGAUGACGGCGACGAUGGUGCAGUAGAAUUUAAGAACGACAAAACCUGAAUAAAUGACUUAUUUUUGUAAAAAUACAAGUGGUGGAUUUCUUUUGCAAGUUGGUUAUUGGUUGUUUUUAUGCAAAGAAAAAU